AGAGUUUGAUCCUGGCUCAGAUUGAACGCUGGCGGCAUGCCUUACACAUGCAAGUCGAACGGCAGCACGGGAGCAAUCCUGGUGGCGAGUGGCGAACGGGUGAGUAAUACAUCGGAACGUGCCCUGUAGUGGGGGAUAACUAGUCGAAAGACUAGCUAAUACCGCAUACGACCUGAGGGUGAAAGUGGGGGACCGCAAGGCCUCAUGCUAUAGGAGCGGCCGAUGUCUGAUUAGCUAGUUGGUGGGGUAAAGGCCUACCAAGGCGACGAUCAGUAGCUGGUCUGAGAGGACGAUCAGCCACACUGGGACUGAGACACGGCCCAGACUCCUACGGGAGGCAGCAGUGGGGAAUUUUGGACAAUGGGGGCAACCCUGAUCCAGCAAUGCCGCGUGUGUGAAGAAGGCCUUCGGGUUGUAAAGCACUUUUGUCCGGGAAGAAAUCGCACCUGAUAAUACCGGGUGUGGAUGACGGUACCGGAAGAAUAAGGACCGGCUAACUACGUGCCAGCAGCCGCGGUAAUACGUAGGGUCCAAGCGUUAAUCGGAAUUACUGGGCGUAAAGCGUGCGCAGGCGGUUGUGCAAGACCGAUGUGAAAUCCCCGGGCUUAACCUGGGAAUUGCAUUGGUGACUGCACGGCUAGAGUGUGUCAGAGGGGGGUAGAAUUCCACGUGUAGCAGUGAAAUGCGUAGAGAUGUGGAGGAAUACCGAUGGCGAAGGCAGCCCCCUGGGAUAACACUGACGCUCAUGCACGAAAGCGUGGGGAGCAAACAGGAUUAGAUACCCUGGUAGUCCACGCCCUAAACGAUGUCAACUAGUUGUUGGGGAUUCAUUUCCUUAGUAACGUAGCUAACGCGUGAAGUUGACCGCCUGGGGAGUACGGUCGCAAGAUUAAAACUCAAAGGAAUUGACGG
rnacentral:rRNA from 1 species